AUCCUUUUGUAGUUCAUAAGCACGAUGACUGGGUUUUCACACCCAUGAGUGAGACGUGCCUCCCUCAAUCCUUGUUAGGAUGUGGGCACAGGGCUCGUCUGAUG